UUUUUUUUUGCUUUUGGUUCACUCUUUCCUCUUCCACCUCCAUUUUAUUUUCCCAUGCCUUGCCUUUUGAGCCCAGUUCACACAGCAUUGUGGGCAGCAUCAUCAACCAGGUGGAGCCCAUGCCUCGUGCCUUCACUUCUGACCUCUGCACAGAACGUCGGAACAUCAGAACCAAGCUUGCGCAUGGGGAAACGGCCUCCUGGGAAGGAGAUAAGGCUGUGGAUCUGGCUGCGUCUGCUGUCCCAGUGCUGUCGUUGCACUGAGGUAAGCAACACCCUUCAGUACAUUUGUAUGUGAGGGUUUGGAAACUUGGGGAGCGCAAAACAGGAAGCUCGAGUGUCACCAGGACCUUGGCAGGGAGUCAAGAGCAUUGUGGAAAAGUUGCAGGCUCCCAUGUUAUCGCACGAGUGUUGCUCACGUCUUCCUCUCUCUCAUGCAUAAGGCCUCAUAAGGAGCUGAACAGAAGACCUGGUCUACCAUGCAUGAGGCAGGAUGAGUGGACACAGUGGUACCUCGGGUUACAUACGCUUCAGGUUACAAACUCCGCUAACCCAGAAAAAGUGCUUCAGGUUAAGAGCUUUGCUUCAGGAUAAGAACAGAAAUCGUGCUCCAACGGCGCAGCGGCAGCAGGAGGCCCCAUUAGCUAAAGUGGGGCUUCAGGUUAAGAACAGUUUCAGGUUAAGAACGGACCUCCAGAACGAAUUAAGUACUUAACCCGAGGUACCACUGUAUUCCAUUUCAAAUGUCAGGGAGGGGCACUGAUUCUGAAUGUGCUCUCAUAUCAACAAGAACUCCCUGGCAGUGAAAAAUGCGUUUUGGAGAAAGGGGUUCCAGCCUCGCCAAUUCCCUGUUGUGCUAGUUCUUUUUUAAAAAAACCAUGGGGAGCUUUUCAGCCCAGAGAGAACACAGUAGUACCUCUGGAUACGAAUGGGACCCAUUCCAGAGCCCCAUUUGCAUCCUGAAGUAAACGCAACCCGCGUCUGCGUGGGUCGCAAUUCGCCGCUUCUGCGCAUGCGCGUGACAUCAUUUUGACCAUCUGCGCAUGCGUGAGUGGCGAAACCCGGAAGCAAUGCAUUCCGUCACUUCCGGGUCGCCGCGGAGCGCAACCCGAAAGCGCUCAACCUGAAGCAACUUCAACCCGAGGUAUGACUGUAUUCACAAAUGUGAUUUUGCACCUCCACCUCACAUUCGGAAGUGUGCCAGUCAGUUCCUCAACCUCAGCACUCCAGCGCCACAUAAAGAACACCAGAAGAGCCUGCUGGGACAGGCCAAUCUAGUCCAGCACCCUCUUCUCACAGUGGAAAACCAGAGGCCUGUGGGAAAACUGCAAGGACAUGAACACCAGAGCACUCUAGCACUCUCCUCUCCUGAGAUUUCCAGCACCUGAUAUUCAAAAGCAUUGUUACCAUCAGUAUCCUCCAUGAAUAUCCUCAUCUUCGUAUAUAUAUAUAUUUUAGUUUUUUUAACAUAUCAUUUCCAACCAUCAGAUAACAUAACUUCUUAUCUUAUACAAUGUUUUAGACUUCCGUCAACACCUCUGAUGAUUUUCCGUUCUUUAUCACUUAUUCUGCAUUUCUUAAUAUAUCUAUUACUCUUAAUUAUCAUUAACUAAUAAUUCUCCUCAUAGCCUUUCUUGGAAUAUUUCAUAUAAUUCUCCUUACAAAAUGUCUUGCAGUCCUACUGUUCAUUACUAUUACUUUUCAAAUAGUUCAUAUAUUUACUCCAGUCUUCUAAGAAUCUCUGGUCCCGCAGGUUUUGAAUGCUUCCAGUUAAUUUAUCCAAUUCUGCAUAGUCCAUCAGUUUCAUCCGCCAUUCUUCUUUUGUUGGUAGUUUUUCUUCCUUCCAUUUUUGUGCCAAUAAUAUUCUUGCUGCCGUCAUUGCAUAUAAAAACAAUUUACAAUCCUGUCUAUUAAUCUCAUCUCCCACAAUGCCAAGUAAAAAUGCUUCUGGUUUCUUAAUAAAUGAAUAUUUCAACAUCUUUUUCAUCUCAUUAUAUAUCAUUGCCCAGACGUUUUUCACUUUUUUACACCCACCACAUGUGAUAAAAAGUUCCUUCCUUUUCUUUACAUUUCCAACAUUUAUUACUUGUUUUAUACAUUUUAGCUAAUUUCACCGGGGUAAUAUACCCCCUAUACAUCAAAUUUGUCUAAUCAUCUUCUAAAGUCAUUGGUGGGAGAGAGUUCUAUAGUUUAACCAUGCACUGCAUAGAGAAGUCAUUUUUCAGCCCAUGAGUUCUAGUGCCAUGAGAGGAGAAAAAUUUAAUGCACAUUCUUCAUGCCAUGCAUCAUUUUAUAAACUUCUAUCAUGUCACCUCUUACUCACCUUUUCUCUAAACUUAAAAGUCUCAAUGCUGCGACCGUUCUUCAUCAGGGAGCAUUACAGCUUUAGUCAGUGAGUCGUUUUAUUAGCUAAGGAGCAAUAGCAUUCACUAGAGAGUCAUAAGCCAAGCAUAGGCAAACUCGGCCCUCCAGACGUUUUGGGACUACAGUUCCCAUCAUCCCUGACCAAUGGUCCUGUUAGCUAGGAAUCAUGGGAGUUGUAGUCCCAAAACAUCUGGAGGGCCAAGUUUCCCUAUGCCUGGUUGUAGCAUUAGAGAGGGAAGGAAAGUGAUUCAGAGAAUCAUUAUAUCUUUGAAAAUGUGGAAUCGUGGAGUUGGAGGAGACCUAAAGAAUCAUCUAGUCCAACCCACUGUUGAUUAUUUUGCAGAUUAGUUGGGCUGCAGAAGGCGUGCUGGGGAGACCACACAUUAAGAGAAGCAAAAGUAACUUUUGCUUGGUUUAAUAACAAAAAGAAAAACAAAAACUCCUUUUACACUAAAUUACAUUAUAUCAAUAAGUGUGACCCAUCCAUCAGGGUACUGAGAGAGUGACAUGCUGCUCUUUAUAUACUAUACCCAACAGCUUAAUUAACAUAGCUUGCUAUACUGCUUCACAGCUGUAAAACUAGGUCAUGUUAUUUGCUCUGGCCCUUAAAGACAUACACAUCUUGUGAAACAAUAAUGAAAUCUAAAAUUUGAAGAAACCAUUCAACACCCACUGCAAUGCAUGUGAGGACGAUUUUUAGCAGUUUCUAUAUUCUGGGUCUGUCACUAUCAGUGAAGACUUGGAAUCAUAGGGGACCACCCCUCUACAGCCACAGCUGGAUUAUUUUCAAAACAUUAACCUCAGAGACCAGUUGAUUUGCUCCGGGUGAAAUGGCUUGCCUUUUCUUUUGCAGGCAUAUUCAGAACAAGACCUGGAGGGGCCUCUUGACAAUGGGUUCAAGUCCUCACUGAACUCUUCACAUGACAGCAAAUAUGCACCAAACCUGGAGAUAUCAGGUUUAAGUCCAGUGUAGCGAUUCAGAGAAUGACGACUAUAGACGCAAGAAGUUAGCAAGGCCCGUUCUGACACGUAUUAGUAGCAAGCAGCACUGUUUCCCUUCUGCUGCAGUUUGGCUUCCAUUUAAAACUACUCUAGCCUUGCUGUCCAUGGUGGCCAAAUUUAACAUAUGAUUAUUUAAGUAAUGGCAAUGUUAUUGUGUCCCUCCACAUCAUUCAUUUCAACGCAAAGGAAAUAUCAGGGAAAAGGGGGGUGGGAUGAACAUUGUUAAUGACGUAUCAUUUGGAGUGUUGUAAACAAAAUCUGCCCUUCUUCCCUUAUGGGGUAUUCAAGAGCCUGUAUAGAGUUCUUAAGUGAGUUCCCUAUCGUUAGGAGAAAAUAGCAGAGGCCAACCAGAGAAUAUUGAGAAGCAAAGCAGCUAGUAAGCCUGAUCUUUAUUAAGGCUGUUGCAACAGGGUGCUCCCCUCACACGCAGGAAAGGAGAAGGACCUCAAACAAUGGCGCGCAAGGCCUUAUAUAGAUAUUUUAAAUUCCCUGCCCUGGAGCUCAAGACCACCCCUCUAUACAUACAUCACAGAAAAAGCGGUCUACAACAGAAAUUUGAAUGUUGUUUUUCUUGUCUGCCAGGUUAUCUGAUAAUGCCUUAUCUGAUUGCCUUUCCUGGUAGUCUGCCCAUUCCUUUGAGAUGGUGAUUACCUAAUUCCUGAGACAAUGGGAAGGUUCACUCAUCCCCUCCCUCCUUGCAGAGAAAACAUUUGGCCAGUUUGGGAGUCAAAAUGGUUUCAGGACGGUCUUCCUGUGCUGCUCCAGACAUGUUGUCCACAUAUCUAUGUACAUGCUUGGUUGGUACAUUUAUGAACAUUUAUUUUAUAUAUAUAUAAGACCUUAAAUUUUUUAUUACAGGAGACUGGAAAAAAGAGACUGGCUCAUAUCCCCUUGCCUGAAUGCUGUUUCCAAGGACAAAUGAACACAUGAACUGGGACAAUUUUUGCUUCUGUGACUGGACUGAUCAGAGUAGAAUUAUACGCCAUACCUAAUGAAGAAAUUUCCAAGUUCAAGGGCAUCUGCAGGGAGAUGGGAGAGAACCAGUUGUACACAAUACUGAGCUAAGUGGACCCAAGGGUCUGACGCUGGAUGGGGCAGCUUCCUAUGUUCCUAUGACUCCUUGUUCUUUUAGUUCUAUAAUGAAUUAUAUAAGGCUAGUUAAGUUGCCUUUUAUGGUUUCUCUGAAGUUCCCUGUUUCCCUUCUCUUCAGAUCUGCCCUCCUGUUGCUUCAGGGGACGGUCCCACUCCAUAGCACGCACUAGAGCAGGGGUCAGCAAACUUUUUCAGCAGGGGGCCGGUCCACUGUCCCUCAGACAUUGUGGGGGGCCGGACUAUAUUUUGAAAAAAAUAAAUAAAUGAACAAAUUCCUAUGCCCCACAAAUAACCCAGAGAUGCAUUUUAAAUAAAUGGACACAUUCUACUCAUGUAAAAACACGCUGAUUCCCGGACCAUCCGUGGGCCGGAUUCAGCCCCCGGGCCUUAGGUUGCCUACCCCUGGGUUAGAGUAUCACAGGGUCUAAAAUUUAGGCUGCGGUUCUGGCACUUGGUCAGUGCAAACUUGCAGCCGUGCUCCUUUUGUCCCUUUUGACUCUGCCUGAGCUGUGGUGGUGGUGGUGACAGCUCAGGAAAUGGAUCCCACAAUAAAAUCUGUGCAAGUAGUGAUUGAGAAGACUCUAAUCUCUGUGGAGAUAAGGAGUUGCUACAGCAAACGACAACAUGAGCCCGAAAGUGAUGGAUGCUGGGAAUGUUUGGUGACUGUUGUUCUUCAGCUCCUGGGCUUGUGGCUUUCAGAGGCCCUGCUCUGAAAGCUCCUCAUUUAACUCAGCACGGAGCUUUUCAACACCAUCUGGGGCUCACGCCUUGCUUAACCUCAUCAGAUUGAGGGCCAAGGGUGCCUGUGCUGGAAGCUGCAGAGAGCAAAUAUUGACAAUAUUAUUAUUUGUAAAGGUAUGGCUGUUUUUGGGUCAAGGUGCUCUCCAAGACAUUUUGGUGCUUGAGGUGAAUACAUUUGAAAUCACACAAAUGCAGAGAGUAUGUUUUCAACAACCUCUGCUUUAACCUUGCACUCUCCCCUUGGUGUUGAAGAUGCUGUCAUCUUGGUAUCGGGUAGCUUAAAUUUUCUCUGUAUGGGGUUCACAAAGACAUCCCCCCCAGUGGUUUAAGGGUUGGCCUCAUUUCAGGGUCUUGUUAUAAGAAUUUUUAGGUCAUAUAUAUAUAUAUAUAUAUAUAUAUAUAUAUAUAUAUAUAUAAUAAAUGUACCAAGCAAACACAUAUAUAUAAAUAUAUAAACCACAUGUCCAAAACCCACAGGAAAAGUCCUAAAGCCAUUUUGACUCUUUCAGUCACCUCAAAUAUUUCUCUACAAGGUCAAAGGAAAUGCAGAAACCUCCCCACUCUCUCUGUCCUCACAAAUCCUGCCUUAAGGGCACAUUUAAGGUGUGAAUAGGGUGAGCCUGUGACCUGGCUCUGGAAUUAAGUAUUAUCAUUACAAAAGGAUGGCCAGGCUCCCCAGAUAAUCCAGUUAAGUGACCAUUAACAGGUAACCUGGCAGACAGGGUAAAAACAACGCACUCAGAUUUCUGUUGUAGACCGCCUUUUCUGUGAUGUAGGUAUGAUGUAUCUGGGGGGUGGUCUUGCGCUACACCCCUUCUGUGAUGUAUGUAUGAUGUUUCUGGGGGUGGUCUUGGACUCCAGGGAGGGCUAUUUAAAACGUCUAUAUAAGGGUGGGCACACCUUUGUUCUGGGUCGUCCUCUCUCUUCUGUGUGUGUGGGGAG